rnacentral:rRNA from 1 species
GAAGGGGGGGCGCUUACCAUGCAAGUCGAACGGGGCUCUUUCGGGGGUCCAGUGGCGAACGGGUGCGUAACACGUGAGCAACCUGCCUGGAGUUGGGGGAUAACCUCGGGAAACCGGGGCUAAUACCGCAUGAGCUCAUCCGGCUGGAUGGUUGGGUGAGGAAAGGAGCUUUCGGGCUUUGACUUCAGAGGGGCUCGCGGCGUAUCAGCUGGUUGGUGAGGUAACGGCUCACCAAGGCGACGACGCGUAGGGGGUCUGAGAGGAUGGCCCCCCACAUUGGGACUGAGAUACGGCCCAGACUCCUACGGGAGGCAGCAGUGGGGAAUCUUGCGCAAUGGCCGAAAGGCUGACGCAGCGACGCCGCGUGCGGGAGGAAGCCCUUCGGGGUGUAAACCGCUGUCAGGAGGGACGAGUGCCCCGGGGAGGCAAUGCCCUUGGGGAGAGACGGUACCUCCAGAGGAAGCACCGGCUAACUCCGUGCCAGCAGCCGCGGUAAUACGGAGGGUGCGAGCGUUGUUCGGAAUUAUUGGGCGUAAAGCGCACGUAGGCGGCCCGUUAAGUCUCUUGGUGAAAGGCCGGGGCUCAACCCCGAGCAUGCCGGGGAUACUGGGGGGCUGGAGACAGGUAGAGGCCAGCGGAAUUCCGGGUGUAGCGGUGGAAUGCGUAGAGAUCCGGAAGAACACCGGAGGCGAAAGCGGCUGGCUGGACCUGAUCUGACGCUGAGGUGCGAAAGCGUGGGGAGCGAACAGGAUUAGAUACCCUGGUAGUCCACGCCGUAACGAUGGAGACUAAAUGCCGGUGGGAUCGACCCCUUCGGUGUCGGAGCUUAUGCGUUAGAUCUC